rnacentral:rRNA from 1 species
UAGGGAAUCUUCCACAAUGGACGCAAGUCUGAUGGAGCAACGCCGCGUGAGUGAAGAAGGCUUUCGGGUCGUAAAACUCUGUUGUUGGAGAAGAAUGGUCGGCAGAGUAACUGUUGUCGGCGUGACGGUAUCCAACCAGAAAGCCACGGCUAACUACGUGCCAGCAGCCGCGGUAAUACGUAGGUGGCAAGCGUUAUCCGGAUUUAUUGGGCGUAAAGCGAGCGCAGGCGGUUUUUUAAGUCUGAUGUGAAAGCCCUCGGCUUAACC